rnacentral:tmRNA from 2 species
GGGGGUGACUUGGUUUCGACGUGGUCGACGAUCCCAUGGUUGCAAGUCGUAUGCUAAAACGUAAAUUGGCAAUUAAAUAUAAACGCAAACAACAAUAGCGAAGCAAACUUCGCACUAGCUGCCUAAUUUAAGGCAAGCAAUAAAUAUCGAGCUCGUCGCAAGCCUGAUAUUUGUUUCAUAAUUUAGCGACAACUGUUGUAUGUAAGCUUUGCCAUACAAUUAGUAUCAUGAAGCUAGCAUAAGGAUUUUUUGUAAGGUUUUUAUUCUUUAUGCAAAAUUAUAAAUCUUACUAAGCUUGUAGAUGCUAUGGAGAAAUCUUCCGCGGACAAGGGUUCAAAUCCCUUCACCUCCACCA